UGUUAAAAAUUUCAUCCAUUUCUACUGUUAAAAACUGGUAUGGCUAACAAAAUAACCAAAUGGUGCCACGUGUACCUCAUGCUAACGUUCAUGGACCAGUUUUCAACAAUAGCAAUCGAUGAAAUUUUUAAUA
rfam:Gossypium raimondii Chr04_contig_1392, whole genome shotgun sequence.